GAUGAACGCUGGCGGCGUGCUUAACACAUGCAAGUCGAACGGGAUCCACCGGGCUUUGCUUGGUGGUGAGAGUGGCGAACGGGUGAGUAAUGCGUGACCGACCUGCCCCAUACACCGGAAUAGCUCCUGGAAACGGGUGGUAAUGCCGGAUGCUCCAGUUGAUCGCAUGGUCUUCUGGGAAAGCUUUCGCGGUAUGGGAUGGGGUCGCGUCCUAUCAGCUUGACGGCGGGGUAACGGCCCACCGUGGCUUCGACGGGUAGCCGGCCUGAGAGGGCGACCGGCCACAUUGGGACUGAGAUACGGCCCAGACUCCUACGGGAGGCAGCAGUGGGGAAUAUUGCACAAUGGGCGCAAGCCUGAUGCAGCGACGCCGCGUGAGGGAUGGAGGCCUUCGGGUUGUAAACCUCUUUUAUCGGGGAGCAAGCGAGAGUGAGUUUACCCGUUGA
rnacentral:rRNA from 1 species